AGUCGAACGAACUCUGGUAUUGAUUGGUGCUUGCAUCAUGAUUUACAUUUGAGUGAGUGGCGAACUGGUGAGUAACACGUGGGAAACCUGCCCAGAAGCGGGGGAUAACACCUGGAAACAGAUGCUAAUACCGCAUAACAACUUGGACCGCAUGGUCCGAGCUUGAAAGAUGGCUUCGGCUAUCACUUUUGGAUGGUCCCGCGGCGUAUUAGCUAGAUGGUGGGGUAACGGCUCACCAUGGCAAUGAUACGUAGCCGACCUGAGAGGGUAAUCGGCCACAUUGGGACUGAGACACGGCCCAAACUCCUACGGGAGGCAGCAGUAGGGAAUCUUCCACAAUGGACGAAAGUCUGAUGGAGCAACGCCGCGUGAGUGAAGAAGGGUUUCGGCUCGUAAAACUCUGUUGUUAAAGAAGAACAUAUCUGAGAGUAACUGUUCAGGUAUUGACGGUAUUUAACCAGAAAGCCACGGCUAACUACGUGCCAGCAGCCGCGGUAAUACGUAGGUGGCAAGCGUUGUCCGGAUUUAUUGGGCGUAAAGCGAGCGCAGGCGGUUUUUUAAGUCUGAUGUGAAAGCCUUCGGCUCAACCGAAGAAGUGCAUCGGAAACUGGGAAACUUGAGUGCAGAAGAGGACAGUGGAACUCCAUGUGUAGCGGUGAAAUGCGUAGAUAUAUGGAAGAACACCAGUGGCGAAGGCGGCUGUCUGGUCUGUAACUGACGCUGAGGCUCGAAAGUAUGGGUAGCAAACAGGAUUAGAUACCCUGGUAGUCCAUACCGUAAACGAUGAAUGCUAAGUGUUGGAGGGUUUCCGCCCUUCAGUGCUGCAGCUAACGCAUUAAGCAUUCCGCCUGGGGAGUACGGCCGCAAGGCUGAAACUCAAAGGAAUUGACGGGGGCCCGCACAAGCGGUGGAGCAUGUGGUUUAAUUCGAAGCUACGCGAAGAACCUUACCAGGUCUUGACAUACUAUGCAAAUCUAAGAGAUUAGACGUUCCCUUCGGGGACAUGGAUACAGGUGGUGCAUGGUUGUCGUCAGCUCGUGUCGUGAGAUGUUGGGUUAAGUCCCGCAACGAGCGCAACCCUUAUUAUCAGUUGCCAGCAUUAAGUUGGGCACUCUGGUGAGACUGCCGGUGACAAACCGGAGGAAGGUGGGGAUGACGUCAAAUCAUCAUGCCCCUUAUGACCUGGGCUACACACGUGCUACAAUGGAUGGUACAACGAGUUGCGAACUCGCGAGAGUAAGCUAAUCUCUUAAAGCCAUUCUCAGUUCGGAUUGUAGGCUGCAACUCGCCUACAUGAAGUCGGAAUCGCUAGUAAUCGCGGAUCAGCAUGCCGCGGUGAAUACGUUCCCGGGCCUUGUACACACCGCCCGUCACACCAUGAGAGUUUGUAACAUCCAAAGUCGGUGGGGUAACCUAU
rnacentral:rRNA from 1 species